rnacentral:rRNA from 1 species
GUACUGGGAUGUACGAGGAGAAAGGAUUUAUUCGCUGAGGGAUGGGCCUGCGGCCUAUCAGGUAGUUGGUGGGGUAAAGGCCUACCAAGCCUGCGACGGGUAGCCGGACUGAGAGGUCGACCGGCCACACUGGAACUGAGACACGGUCCAGACUCCUACGGGAGGCAGCAGUGGGGAAUAUUGCACAAUGGGGGAAACCCUGAUGCAGCGACGCCGCGUGGAGGAUGACGGCCUUCGGGUUGUAAACUCCUUUUGUCAGGGACAAUGGUGAUGGUACCUGACGAAUAAGCCACGGCUAACUCUGUGCCAGCAGCCGCGGUAAGACAGAGGUGGCGAGCGUUGUUCGGAAUUACUGGGCUUAAAGGGCGCGUAGGCGGUGGUGUAAGUCUGGGGUGGAAUGCUACAGCUCAACUGUAGAGCUGCCUUGGAAACUGCAUUACUUGAGUCGGUGAGGGGAAGGCGGAAUUCCUGGUGUAGCGGUGAAAUGCGUAGAUAUCAGGAGGAAGGUCUGUGGCGAAGGCGGCCUUCUGGCACUUGACUGACGCUGAGGCGCGAAAGCGUGGGGAGCAAACAGGAUUAGAUACCCUGGUAGUCCACGCCCUAAACGGUGGGUAUUAGGUGUGGGGCCUUCAUGGGUUCCGUGCCGUAGCGAAAGCA